rnacentral:rRNA from 1 species
UGAAUACGAGAUGCUACGGCGUCGAAGCAGUCUAUGUCAUACUUCCAAGAAAAGCUUGCACUGUCAUAAACAAAUAAUGCCUGUACCAUAACCGACACAGGUGGGUAGGUAGAGUAUACUAAGGGGCGCGAGAUAACUCUCUCUAAGGAACUCGGCAAAAUGACUCCGUAACUUCGGGAGAAGGAGUGCCUUAUUUAUAAGGUUGCAAUAACAAGAUCCAAGCAACUGUUUACCAAAAACACAGGUCUCCGCUAAGUCGUAAGACGAUGUAUGGGGGCUGACGCCUGCCCAGUGCCAGAAGGUUAAAGAAGUUGGUUAGCAUCCGCGAAGCUGAUAACUGAAGCCCUGGUGAACGGCGGCCGUAACUAUAACGGUCCUAAGGUAGCGAAAUUCCUUGUCGGGUAAGUUCCGACCCGCACGAAAGGCGUAAUGAUUUGGAUACUGUCUCGGAGAGGGGCUCGGUGAAAUAGACUUGUCUGUGAAGAUGCGGACUACCUGCACCAGGACAGAAAGACCCUAUGAAGCUUUACUGUAACCUGAAAUUGAAAUUGGACUUUACUUGCGCAGUAUAGGUGGGAGGCGUUGAGAAUAUUCUUGCGGGAUUAUUGGAGCCAUCAGUGAGAUACCACUCUUGUAAUGUUAGAUUUCUAACUUUGUAUCAUUAUCUGGUCAAAGAACAGUUUCAGGCGGGCAGUUUGACUGGGGCGGUCGCCUCCUAAACGGUAACGGAGGCGCACAAAGGUUUCCUCUGAACGGGUAGAAAUCGUAUCUAGAGUGUAAAGGCAUAAGGAAGCUUGACUGUGAGACCUACAAGUCGAGCAGGGACGAAAGUCGGUCUUAGUGAUCUGACGGUGCUGAGUGGAAAGGCCGUCACCCAACGGAUAAAAGUUACUCUAGGAUAACAGGCUGAUCUCCCCCAAGAGUUCACAUCGACGGGGAGGUUUGGCACCUCGAUGUCGGCUCAUCGCAUCCUGGGGCGGUAGUACGUCCCAAGGGUUGGGCUGUUCGCCCAUGAAAGCGGUACGCGAGCUGGGUUCAGAACGUCGUGAGACAGUUCGGUCCAUACCCGGUGUAGGCGUUAGAAUAUUGAGAGGAGCCUUCUUUAGUACGAGAGGACCGAGAAGGACAUACCUCUGGUGUACCAGUUAUCGUGCCAACGGUAAACGCUGGGUAGCUAUGUGUGGAGUGGAUAACCGCUGAAAGCAUCUAAGUGGGAAGCCCACCUCAAGAUAAGUAUUCUCAUC